AUUGAACGCUGGCGGCAUGCCUUACACAUGCAAGUCGAACGGCAGCACGGGUGCUUGCACCUGGUGGCGAGUGGCGAACGGGUGAGUAAUACAUCGGAACGUACCUUAUCGUGGGGGAUAACGCAGCGAAAGCUGUGCUAAUACCGCAUACGCCCUGAGGGGGAAAGCGGGGGAUCGCAAGACCUCGCGCGAUUAGAGCGGCCGAUGCCUGAUUAGCUUGUUGGUGGGGUAAAAGCCCACCAAGGCGACGAUCAGUAGCUGGUCUGAGAGGACGAUCAGCCACACUGGGACUGAGACACGGCCCAGACUCCUCCUGGAGGCAGCAGUGGGGAAUUUUGAACAAUGGGGGCAACCCUGAUCCAGCAAUGCCGCGUGAGUGAAGAAGGCCUUCGGGUUGUAAAGCUCUUUUGUCAGGGAAGAAACACCGGCUCUAACACAGUCCGGGAAUGACGGUACCUGAAGAAUAAGCACCGGCUAACUACGUGCCAGCAGCCGCAGUAA
rnacentral:rRNA from 1 species